rnacentral:rRNA from 1 species
AUAUUCACAAUGGGCGAAAGCCUGAUGCAGCGACGCCGCGUGAGGGAUGACGGCAUUCGGGUUGUAAACCUCUUUCAGUAGGGAAGAAGCGAAAGUGACGGUACCUGCAGAAGAAGCACCGGCUAACUACGUGCCAGCAGCCGCGGUAAUACGUAGGGUGCAAGCGUUAUCCGGAAUUAUUGGGCGUAAAGAGCUCGUAGGCGGUUUGUCGCGUCUGCCGUGAAAGCCCGGGGCUCAACUCCGGAUCUGCGGUGGAUACGGGCAGACUAGAGUGAUGUAGGGGAGACUGGAAUUCCUGGUGUAGCGGUGAAAUGCGCAGAUAUCAGGAGGAACACCGAUGGCGAAGGCAGCUCUCUGGGCAUUAACUGACGCUGAGGAGCGAAAGCGUA